rnacentral:rRNA from 1 species
CCUACGGGAGGCUGCAGUGGGGAAUAUUGGACAAUGGGGGCAACCCUGAUCCAGCCAUGCCGCGUGUGUGAAGAAGGCCCUCGGGUUGUAAAGCACUUUCAGUGAGGAAGAACGCCUGGUGGUUAAUACCCAUCAGGAAAGACAUCACUCACAGAAGAAGCACCGGCUAACUCCGUGCCAGCAGCCGCGGUAAUACGGAGGGUGCUAGCGUUAAUCGGAAUUACUGGGCGUAAAGCGCGCGUAGGUGGCUUGAUAAGCCGGUUGUGAAAGCCCCGGGCUCAACCUGGGAACGGCAUCCGGAACUGUCAAGCUAGAGUGCAGGAGAGGAAGGUAGAAUUCCCGGUGUAGCGGUGAAAUGCGUAGAGAUCGGGAGGAAUACCAGUGGCGAAGGCGGCCUUCUGGACUGACACUGACACUGAGGUGCGAAAGCGUGGGUAGCAAACAGGAUUAGAUACCCGGGUAGUC